AUUGAACGCUGGCGGCAGGCCUAACACAUGCAAGUCGAGCGGAUGAGGGGAGCUUGCUCCUGGAUUCAGCGGCGGACGGGUGAGUAAUGCCUAGGAAUCUGCCUGGUAGUGGGGGAUAACGUCCGGAAACGGGCGCUAAUACCGCAUACGUCCUGAGGGAGAAAGUGGGGGAUCUUCGGACCUCACGCUAUCAGAUGAGCCUAGGUCGGAUUAGCUAGUUGGUGGGGUAAAGGCCUACCAAGGCGACGAUCCGUAACUGGUCUGAGAGGAUGAUCAGUCACACUGGAACUGAGACACGGUCCAGACUCCUACGGGAGGCAGCAGUGGGGAAUAUUGGACAAUGGGCGAAAGCCUGAUCCAGCCAUGCCGCGUGUGUGAAGAAGGUCUUCGGAUUGUAAAGCACUUUAAGUUGGGAGGAAGGGCAGUAAGUUAAUACCUUGCUGUUUUGACGUUACCAACAGAAUAAGCACCGGCUAACUUCGCG
rnacentral:rRNA from 1 species